AUCUGCUGUUCAGGCUGACUCAUCUAGUCUGGAGGAGGGGCUAUCUUCAUUUCUAAUUGAGGCUGUGGAGUCCAGGGACGAGACCUGACUGACUUGUCUCAGAGAUACUUCCUGAACAGUCUUUCUCUCACCGUGGACCAAAGGUUUGGCCAGAGCUAUGUAGCUGUCAAGCUCUAGAGAAAAUGAGGGGCGUAUUUCUAAAAGGGCAGAGGAGGCAGACAGGCGGAUGAAAAUAUCAAACGGUUCCAGCGUGCACUGAAGGAUCAGAUGUGUGGAGAGCAGAGGCCAGGGGACUGACUGCAGGGGGAUUGCCAGCUCCUCUGAGAAGCCUUUCCCAGAGGCCUGCUUUGGCUCCUGACGUCCUUGUUCGUGUUCUCUGUAGCCGAUGGCAUGUAUAUUACCUAAUCACAGCAGCUUUGAAGGUGAAAGUUCCUCUGGUUCAUCCUGUUUCCUUCCUUCCGGUUGUGAACAUGGACUUACUGUUUGGAUGAAGAAAUGAAGAAACGGGAGAAAUACAGACAUAGAGAAGGAAGGUCAGAGGUUCCCAAAUCCACAGGACAGAUCUGAGAAUGAGCAGCACAGUGGGAAGGCAUUUGCUCCUACCAGGGGAUAAUUCAGAACUAUGUGAACCAUCUCCCAUGAGGCUCUCUGAAGAUGGAGCCCACCGGAUCACAGAAUCUACAGGCUGAGCAUACACUCUACUCCAGCUUCUCAGCUCUCGUCAUCUGCACAGAAAUACAUCACUAAGUCAUUUAUGCUCAUCUUCCUUCUGAAAUGUUUGAUUUUGGAGGUGGAGAUGAGGAAUUGUGCCCAGUGCAUCGUGCCCUCUGUACUUUCCAAUGGAGUCAGUCAGCAAGAGGCUGACCAAAGCACUGGAGAGCCUGGCAUGCUGUGGCUUUGAAAUUUCCCUGCC
ensembl:lncRNA